ACUCACCGCCCAGCAGCAGCUGCAGCACUACCGCCGCAAACUCAUCAAAAAGGCUGCUAAGGAGGCAAAAGAGGCACAGGAGGAGGUGCGCGACUCGCCCGACACUCGACGCCGUUCGCCUGCUGAUGAUGACACGUACUCGGUAUCAUCUAAAAAAUCGAAGAAGUCCAGGGAGCCCAGUCUAUCGCCUCCUCCGAAGCGAAAUCGUCACAGUGAACGAAAAUCACGUUCAAGAUCUCGAUCUAGAGAGAGAGAAAGCGAUCGUGUCCGCGAGCGAGAGCGCGAGAGGGAGAGAGAUCGAGACAGAGAGCGUGACCGCGAGAGGGAGAGGCGGCGCCGCUCGCCGGCCACGCCCCCCGCCUUCUACCACAGGAAGCACAGCAAGCACGCCAAAUAUAAAUACUGACAAAGUAUUGAUAAUGUAUUUUAUGAAGAUUAAUUGUGUUACGGACAAAUUAAGUAAAAGUGUGUUUUGUGAUGUGAAAUAAAACAAAAUCUUGUAUCAAGAGUAUAUUCGACAGCUUUUAUGGAAUUGCAUAUUGACAGAUGGUAAAUAUUACGCGGUGCGGAAAUAUGAAAUGUAUAAAGUAAAAUACAACUAAAUGAAACAUUGUAAAUCUCCAUCAUCAAAUAUAAAUAUAAAUGUUAAAAUAAAUAUUGAUGAUACAAUUUUCAUUUCUAACAAUAUACGGUUUUUUCAAAUUUUGUCUUAAUCCUCUAAAAUAUAUUCAAAAUGUAGUAAUACGCUGUCUUUGUAAUUAAGAAUUAUGUACCAUGAGUUUCCACUUCUGAACUUGUACAAAAAUAGUCAUUUCAUUCAUUCUUUUUGAAAAAAAAAACAUGUUUUUGUAUAGAUGUUUCAAAAGUGGAAACUCGUGACUAGGUUUAACAAAUAAAGGUAAUGAACACUA